rnacentral:rRNA from 1 species
UACGUAGGGGGCAAGCGUUAUCCGGAUUUAUUGGGUGUAAAGGGCGUGUAGGCGGGAGCGCAAGUCAGAUGUGAAAACUCAGGGCUCAACCGCGGGACUGCUUUUGAAACUGUGUAGCUAGAGUGCAGGAGAGGUAAGUGGAAUUCCUAGUGUAGCGGUGAAAUGCGUAGAUAUUAGGAGGAACACCGGUGGCGAAGGCGGCUUACUGGACUGUAACUGACGUUGAGGCUCGAAAGCGUGGGGAGCAAACAGG